UGAGGACUACCUACGCCCUCGUCAUCAUCGAAGAGGAUGCGUCCUUCCUCCGCUACGGCCUCCUAUCCCCUAGCGGCGCCGCCGCGGUGAGGAAAGAGGUCGGGGCCCUCUGCGGCGAGCUGCGGCCACACGCCCUCUCCAUCAUCACCUCCUUCGGCAUCCCCCCGGGCCUCCUGAGCCCCCUUGCCUUCGACUGGGUCGAGGCCAACUCCUGGCCCGCAGUCGAGACCCCCUGACCACCUCCUCCCCCAACCUCGACAAGCCCAAGCUCCCCAUCCUCCCACCUCAGACCUCAAUAAAUCAAUCCUGGGUUGUAUGUAAUCUCUGCCAAAGUUACAUCUACCGGAACAUUGCCACGAACAUGGUGGAGCUGAGGAUUGUGCUGACGACGACGGCUUCGACUUGAUGGGUCGGGCACGGAGAAGAUCAUCUGGGCCAGCGCCAA
rnacentral:lncRNA from 1 species